rfam:Moniliophthora roreri strain MCA 2952 kmer90.96977, whole genome shotgun sequence.
GCCCGUCUAGCUCAAUCGGAUAGAGCGUCAGACUCUUAUGACACGAGAUAAAUAAGUGAUCUGAAGGCUGCGAGUUCGACCCUCGCGGUGGGCU